rnacentral:rRNA from 1 species
AACGAACGCUGGCGGCAUGCCUAACACAUGCAAGUCGAACGAUGCCUUCGGGCAUAGUGGCGCACGGGUGCGUAACGCGUGGGAAUCUGCCCUUGGCUUCGGAAUAACAGUUAGAAAUGACUGCUAAUACCGGAUGAUGUCCCCCUGAGAGAUCUUGGGGACCAAAGAUUUAUCGGCCAGGGAUGAGCCCGCGUAGGAUUAGGUAGUUGGUGGGGUAAAGGCCUACCAAGCCGACGAUCCUUAGCUGGUCUGAGAGGAUGAUCAGCCACACUGGGACUGAGACACGGCCCAGACUCCUACGGGAGGCAGCAGUGGGGAAUUUUGGAAAAGGGGGGGAACCCUGAUCCAGCAAUGCCGCGUGAGUGAUGAAGGCCUUAGGGUUGUAAAGCUUUUUUACCAGGGAUGAUAAUGACAGUCCCUGGAGAAUAAGCUCCGGCUAACUCCGU